AAAUUGUUUUGGCUGCCAUUAGAGAAUAAAAAUCAGACUUCGCCAAUUAAGUUCAAGAGAUUCAGAAACAACUUUCACCUACUAUAGAUAGCUUGUUCACUUAGGUUGUAGCUCAGGAAGGAAAGAUUCAGAAUACAAGACUUUCAGCUCCGACGUUGAACGCAGAUCAAACAUGUCUUCAGCAAGAGGAAGCAUGGAGCUUAAUGUGCGAAAUAAUCAAAGCAAGAGGAGCCAACAAAGAAUCCGGUAGGCAACAUCAACGCUUGUGUGCCUCCUUGCAUGUCACACAUUAACUGUAGUACAUACAUAGCAAGCAACCGAUCACCAGGAAGGAAGAAGAAAGCAGAAUGCAUCUACACUACAUCCAGUUUCAGCGCAUCCUCGCCGUGUCUGUUUUCUGCAAGGUUCAAAUGCAAAACAUGCAAGAGCAUGGAAAACCAUGGUUACUAAUUCGGAUUAAACUCAUGCAUUUUGGUUCUUAGACCUCGCUCUAAUAAUUAAAACAAUAACAUUUUGAAGAACGAAAUAUCCAAUAAACCGACUCACUGAGAAAUUAGCGCUUAAUGGUUUGUUGCUGUACAUUGGUGCAUCGGAGGGGAUCAGUUUGUAGUAAUGGGUAUCAUCAGUGUUUCCUCAUACCAAAUGAUUUCGACAAUUAAAUCUGAAGUGAUGGGUAUCAGUAUACAGGUUCUUGGCCUGAGUCAAGAUUGGUAUUUUUUUUAUUUAAGUGUACAAAAAGGAAAAGGAAUUAAAAGGAUACGUAUGCAUCAGCCCCAUCCAGGAUACAU
rnacentral:lncRNA from 1 species